AUUGAACGCUGGCGGCAUGCCUUACACAUGCAAGUCGAACGGCAGCGGACCUUCGGGUGCCGGCGAGUGGCGAACGGGUGAGUAAUGCAUCGGAACGUGCCAUUGAGUGGGGGAUAACGUAGCGAAAGUUGCGCUAAUACCGCAUAUUCUGUGAGCAGGAAAGCAGGGGACCGCAAGGCCUUGCGCUCUUUGAGCGGCCGAUGUCAGAUUAGCUAGUUGGUGAGGUAACGGCUUACCAAGGCGACGAUCUGUAGCGGGUCUGAGAGGAUGAUCCGCCACACUGGAACUGAGACACGGUCCAGACUCCUACGGGAGGCAGCAGUGGGGAAUUUUGGACAAUGGGGCAACCCUGAUCCAGCCAUGCCGCGUGAGUGAAGAAGGCCUUCGGG
rnacentral:rRNA from 1 species